CCCGGCAGAGCCGUGAUAACUCUCUAUGGAGAAACAGAGACGGAGGAGGUCAUGAGAUUUUCUGGGAGCUAUCAAGCCAAUAAAGCAAAGCUGGACCACUUUGACUAACACAUGACCCAGAAAUACUUAUUCUGCCUGCCACGCACAUUCCCAGAAUCCUCCUUAACAUCUGGAAGGCUUGGACUCAAUUCCUCCUCCACCAGAAAAGUGGACAGGGUCAUCUCCAAUACCCAAUAAAAGUCCACAAAAAGAGGGGCUAACCAACAAGAGAAAGCAUUCCUGGAAAGACACUUGCUGGAGGGCCCGAUACUGAAUUGCAAUAAAAGCCUCAAGAAUUCUCUUUCCACUUUUCUAAAGGAUGGAAAUAUCUCAGUUUUUUAUGCCAGUCUCAUUAACAGCCGCCAAGACAGAUGUGAGGCUCUCAACUACAGUCCUUCCUCAUCACGUCCAUAGAAUGGCAGAGAAAGUUAAGAGGCUGAAAUGAGGAGGCACAAGAGUUAGCAUCUUUAUUUUAUAGGAGACUGGAUCAUAAUCUGAUCAUAACCUGAUCAUAAUCUGACUGGAUCAUAAUAGAGAGGAAUUCUAACCUGGAGGAUUUGACCACAGAGGAAAGAACUUCCUUUAAGUUCUCUUUCAGGAAGAAUGAUGGGAUGGCCCUGGGGCCAAGAAUCAAAAGUCGUGUUCUUGGCCCUGACCCUGUCUGGAUGCCAGACUCCUUGUCAGUAACAUGGAAUUUACCUCACCACGGUCUUGUAAGGAUUAUAGGAGGGGGGAAGGAUUUCUAGAAAGAGAGAGCCUCCUCUCCUUAUAAUCUUGAAUGGACAGCUGAAGAAAACUGUACAAUUUUAGGAACUUUUUCCAUAAAACCACAUUGA